rnacentral:rRNA from 1 species
GCAAGUCGAGGGGCAGCAUUAACUUAGCUUGCUAAGUUUGAUGGCGACCGGCGCACGGGUGAGUAACACGUAUCCAACCUGCCGAUGACUCGGGGAUAGCCUUUCGAAAGAAAGAUUAAUACCCGAUGGCAUAGUUCUUCCGCAUGGUAGAACUAUUAAAGAAUUUCGGUCAUCGAUGGGGAUGCGUUCCAUUAGCUUGUUGGCGGGGUAACGGCCCACCUAACCGACGAUGCGUAGGGGUUCUGAGAGGAAGGUC